rnacentral:snRNA from 1 species
UUUGGAUUUUAAUUUGGUGAA